rnacentral:lncRNA from 1 species
AAAACCAUUUGAUUUAGUAUUACCUGUCGAACAAUCGAGCAAUAAAAAAGAAUUAAAGGCUCGAUUAGAGAUAAGUGAUAAUUGGGAAGGUAUAACAUUAAGAAAAACACAAAUAACAAAAAUAAUAGAGAUUAUGAAUGAAGCUAACAAUUCUAGAAACGAAACAAAUAAAUUAUUAUUAAAGUAUGCAUAUACUGUUAAAUUAGAUAUCGAAUCAUUAAGAACUGAAACAAAAAAUGAGUUUAUGAAUUUAUAUAAUAAAUUAUUAGGGAGAAAAUAUAAUGUAUCUGAAAAUGAGUUGACUAUGUCUGAGUUAAACAGAUUACAAAUUUUAUAUGAUGUUGUAGGUGUUCGUCAUUUAGCAAAAUGGCGACUACAAUGCAAAAAGAUGUUAGAAAAAUUAGUAGAAGAAAAAAAUUUAAAAAAAAAAAAUCUAUAUGAUUCAAUUUAUAAACAACAAUCUUGGUGGUCUUGGGUAACUGGAAAUAAAAAAGAUAUCGAAAAUAAGGUACAAUCUAUUUUACAAAGUGAACAAAAUAUUAUUAAUGAAAAAGAAUUGUAUAUUUUACAAGAAGCAGUAACAAAUGAAGACGAUUUCGAUGUGGUUAUACCAACUAAAUAUGAUUUACAGUUUAAACUUUCCCAUUUCGCAAUUCAUGUAUAUGACGAUUGUAAAAAGAAAAAAAAACGUGUUAAAUGGGACAUACAAACAACAGAUAAAUCGGAUACACUAAUAAAAGAUAAAUACAAAAGUAUAAUUGAAAUAAAUACAUGUGAUUCACAUUGUGUAGAUUCAUUAGAUAGUAAGGUAUACGACAGUGAUAUAAGCAAAAUGGUCCCAACGGGUAAUGAUACUAUUGUUUCUUCUUGUGGCAGUAGUAGUAACAAUAAGCUUGAUCAAUCCAAUUUGGAUAGAAAUGUAGAAGAAGUUGUUCCAAGUGGAAAAACAAGAAUGGAAGACCAAAAUGGUAAAACUAGUAAUUUUGGUGAUGGAGGAGGAUCUGAUGGGAGACUAUGUGAUGUGACUCGGGGAAGCACCGGCGGUAGUAGCUACAAUGAUAAGUUUUUAAAAAAAAAAAUCAGUUACAAAUAUGAAGAAAUUACAAUUUUAUCCAUAAAUUUUUAUCAGAUAUAUUCUUCCUUAACAUUACAGUCUGUUAUUGAUCAUAACGAUAAUGACAAUUUUCAAUGGAAAUUUAUUAUUGAGUUACAGAAUUUUAUAGCAAAGCAUAAAGAUAAAGUAUUUAUGGAAUUUCGAAAUAAUAAUAAUAAUAUAUUAUCAGCAUAUAAUAUGAACGGUUCAGGAAAUUUUGAUAAAAAUCCGAUAUAUAAUUCGUUAUUGUAUAGUCAAAGUGUAUGUGCAUAUUUAGAAAUUAAUCAUUUGAUUACGGAAAAAGGAAAUACAUUAUCUUCUUUGCUACGUUUGAACCCCUUGGAAUUAUACUUAUCACCAAUCCUUAUAAAAAACAUUUUGUCUUUUACUUUCCCCCUACUGGAUAUAAUUAAUAACGACAUGAACAGUGUUAGUACUGUUCAUUCUAAAUUAGGUACAAUAAAAAGACAAACAGGAAAGGAUCACAUCACAACUACUGCAGUAACUACAAUUUCCCCUCUUACCAACCUGAACGAUAACGGAGAAAGAGUCAGGAUGGUAGGACCUGAUUUAGUUAAUAUUGACACAGAUGUAGAAAAAACGGAUUUAAAAAUAAAUAAUGUUCAAAUUAGAACCGAUAAGAAUACAUCUGAAGGGGAAACGAACAAUUCAGAAGAAAUGUUUAUAAACGAAUUUGAUAGUGAAAAAAAAAAAAGAGAAGUGUUGAUAAAUGAUGUCGAUUAUAUUGGUAUUUCAUACAGUGAAGAUGGUGAAGGUACAAGAAUAGAAGGAUCUAACCAUAUAGACAAUUCCAGUUUAUUAAAUUAUGAAGAAUUAUAUAACGAAGAUGAUUUCUUGAAUAUAAAAAAAAUGGAACACUCGGAAUUCAUUGAAGGGUUGAAAGAAAAAGGGGAAAAUGUGUAUAAUAAAGCAGUUCAACAUUUGCCAGAUUUAUUUGAAUUUUUUAUUCAUAUAUGUGGUCCUAUUGUACAUUUUGACAAUUUAACAAAUGGAAUUGUUGAACUUCAUUCUGGUAAUUUAAUUGCUAGAACUGCUCAUCCUUGUGCUUAUAACAAAUUUAACUUAAUAUUUGAAUUUAAUGAAACACAAAUUACGUGUUUGAAAAGUGGACCUGCGGGGGGAGGUUCGAUUAAUUCGGUUAGUGCAAAUGAUGGAAAUGGUAGUACCGAAGGUAGUGUUACUGAAAGUGAUAAUAUCAGUAACAAGAGUGAUGAAAUGCCAAAAAAAAAUAGCUAUUGUAAUAAUAUAAAAGAAAAAACAGCGGGAACAGAAAAAUUUUAUAUACUUAAACCCAUACCUGUUAUAAUAUAUGUAGAGUAUGAUUUUAAAAUAUUAAAAACUAAUAUAAUUUUGGAUGGCAUUUUUUUUCAAAUAAAUCCUGAUGCUGUUAGUAUUAUAUUAGCUGUGCCUACUUCUAUUACUAGAUAUUUGACAAAAUUUUACACAAAACAUAAAAAUACGAGUGAUUUGAAUAAAGAAAAAGGUGGUGAAAAUUGUAUAUUAAAAAAUAUAAAAAAAAAUUAUGUUAAAAAGAAGGAAGAAGCAUAUCCAAUUGUAGAUACUAUAAAUUGGAGUAAAUCUUCAAAAAUAAAUGUAAGUAAUAAAAAUAAUGAUAAUAGUACUACGGAUGAUAGUAAUAUCGAUAAAAAUAAAAAAACAGAGGAAGAAUCGUUUUUAUACGAUAUUGAUUUUUUAAUCAAGAAUUCAUCGUUUUCUAUUAAAAAUGGCCAAAACUAUGAAGUACUUAAAUAUGAAGCUUGUUGUAUAGUAUAUAAAAAUUAUUUGCAAAAAAAAAAAAAAACUAUUCAAAUUGAAAUUGAACAAUUAUGGAUUUGUGAUCCUAGUAAUCAACAACCUAUAUUUUUUACAUCUACAAAAAAUUUAAUAUCAAAAGAUGCAUUUCUUUUUAAGUCUUUGUCAACUUAUAUGCAAGAUAAAAAUAACAGUUCGCGUUCCACUGGUUUUGUUGAUGAUAAUAUGGGGACAUAUGGAAGUCCCGUACAGACGCACACAGUAGAACAUGCAUUAGCAAAGGAUUUAUUGAGCGUUGGAAAUGGUGCAAAUGGUAAUAUAAACAACGAAAUAAAUGGCAACGAAAUAAAUGACAACGAAAUAAAUGGCAACGAAAUAAAUGGCAACGAAAUAAAUGGAAACAAAAGAAAUGGAAACGAUGAGGAUGAGGAUGAUGACGAUGACGAUUUUAUGGAUGCCAUAGAAGAAAAAAAAUUUUCAAUUGAUUUACAGAUACUACAAAAACAAAACAAAAACAAUGUGGUAGAAACAUAUAUAGAUUUUAUAAUUAAUGAUAUAGAACUACAUUGGAAAUAUAAAACAAUAAAACAAAUAUUUCGAACAAUGAAAGAGUAUAAAAAAAAAAUCCAAUCGGGUUUAGAAAAAGAUAUGAAUUACAUAAAAAAUAAAUUAAGUAAUAAAGAAGAACUAAGGACAUACAAAAUGUUUAUAUCUGAAAACACAUUAAUCAGUGUUAAUAAUACAUUAAAAACUGUAAAGGAUUCGUUAAACGUGUUAGAUAUGGAAACACCUAAUAGUUCAACUACAGUAAAUGAUGUUGAGAAAGAAAUUGCAGUAAAUAAUGACAGACAUAAUGUGUUUACAAAUGUGGGUGUACAGAGAAGUGAGAUACUAUCUUCUCCGUAUUAUAUAUCUGAUAAAGUGGAUAAUAAAAAUUGUGAUACGGGUGGUAUAGACGUAGGUAUACGUGGUGGUACAUAUGGUGAUACACAUGGCGGUACACAUAGUAGUACACAUGAUAACAUUUUAAGUAACGGGCUAAACAACGGUCUUCCCAAAUUGGCACAGCAAAAUAAAAACCAUGUGACUUAUUUUUUUAACUGUUUUGUUAAUAACGCCUCCUUAGCAUUUUGGAAAAAAAAUAAAGUAUUUUCUAAAAUUCAGUUAAGUAACAUUUUUUAUGAGAACAUAAUUUAUAAGAGCUUUGAUCAAAAAAUGUUUAUUAAUAUUGAAAAGGGCAUUCUUUCAUUAAACGAUAAGAAUAUAAUUUUUAACAACAUUAAUGACUAUACAUAUGAUUCAUUUGAUUCUGUGAAAAAUAAGGAAUCAUGUAGUGGUGAAUUUGCUUCAAAUGGUGUAAAUAAAAUAUAUAACAACAAAGAUUUGUAUGAACGUAAAGGCAGUAGAGACAUUUUAAAUUAUAUAACUUUUGAUAAUUUAUCAGAAGAAAUAAAAAAAAAAAAAAAAAAAAAAAAAAAAAAUGUUGUCAGAUAUACAAGUAAAUACAGCAACAAAAUCUAAUAUAGUGACCAAACAAACAACACAAGAUUUAUUUAUUGGAAAAAUAAAUGUAUAUAACGAUAAAAGAAAAUACA